rnacentral:lncRNA from 1 species
UAUGGUACAAAAAUAUCCCAAAAAGAAGAAUAGUUUGGGUUGCAAACCGUGAUGAUCCAAUCAAGGACAACAACUCCAACUCAACCAUGUUGAUCAUGAGCAAAGAGGGAAACCUUGAACUACUUACCAACAACAAUCAAACACUUGUUUGGUCAACAAACAUCACAACACAAUCUUUGUCAACUACAAGUUCUCAUGUUGCUCAACUAUUAGACAAUGGAAACUUUGUAAUCAAAGCCAACAACAAUACUGAUCAACAAAGUAAUAAUUUCUUAUGGCAAGGUUUUGAUUUUCCUUGUGAUACUUUGUUGGCAGGCAUGAAGCAUGGAUGGGACUUAAAAACCGGUCUUAAUCGUCAAUUAACUUCUUGGAAAAAUUGGGACGAUCCAUCAUCGGGAGAUUUAACAUGGGGUAUUGUCCUUCAUAGUAAUCCAGAAAUUGUAUUGAAAAAAGGAUCAGUUGAAAUUCACAGGAGUGGUCCUUGGAAUGGAGUUGGAUUUAGUGGAGCACCUAUGGAGAUUAUUACGUCAAGUGUUAUAGCUACAACACCUGUGAUCAAUUCAAAUGAAGUUUAUUUCACAUAUAGUCUUGUAAACAAGAGUAUGGUUUCAAUAACUUAUUUGAACCAAACGCUUAGUCUUCAUGAACGCGUUAUAUGGAGUCCAGAGGACAACACUUGGAGCGAUAUUCAGUCAGUACCAAAAAAUGAUUGUGAUGUCUAUAAUCGUUGCGGCCCUUAUGGAAAUUGCAUUCAUAACCCGUCUCCAAUUUGCCAAUGUUUAGAUGGGUUUGAGCCUAAAUCACCACAAAAUUGGUACGCAUCAAAUUGGACACAAGGAUGUGUGCGCAAAGGUGAAGAAACAUGGAAUUGUGGUGUGAAUGAUCGUUUUAGAACAUUUUCUGGAUUGAAAUUGCCAGAUACAACACAUACUUGGGUUGAUGCUAAUAUGACACUUGAGAAUUGUAAGAAUAAAUGCUUGGAAGAUUGUUCUUGUAUGGCUUAUUCAAACUUAAAUGUGAGUGAUGGUAGUGGAUGUUCCAUAUGGUUUGGUGAUCUUAUAGACUUAAGACAGAUUUUAACAUUCCAACAAUAUCUAUAUAUUCGAAUGGAUGCUUCCACAGUAGGUAAAUGCUAUAUUCUUCUCAAACAUUUAUGCUUUUUUUAUGGAUUAUAUAUAUUUUUAAUCUCUAGCUAUAUAGUUUUAGUUAAUACUAAAUUUGUUUGCCUAAGUUUUAAUUAAUACACUACAAAAACACCAUAAUUUUUCUCGAGCCACUAUUGCCAGCCUCUAGACCCUCGAAAAUACUGGUGGCUUGACAAUAAACCGAGCGAACUUGAACAAAUUUUGAAACUCGACUCGAUAAUUGAUUCGUUGGACUAAGUUCAUGAACCAAAUGAGUUGAGUUUGAGCCGAAAAUUAAGUUUGUUAAUAUAAUGAACUGAACUUGAGUUAUAUAUAGUUCGCCUCGUUUGGUCCAUGAGUUGAUUCGAUUAUAUAUUUUUUAUAAAAUAUAUUUUUUAUUAAAUAGUAUGAACAUGAACGUAGGGUCAAAUUAAUCAAUUAAAUUUAAAAGUUGUUGCACAGUACUAAGUCAACUAAGAGGUUUCGAAGUGGAACAAGACUACUCUAAUAUUUAUCUAUGUUGAUUUGAUGGAGCUAAAAUUACAGGUUUAAUUAACAAUUUAACAAUUAUAAAAUAAAAAAUAAAAAAACAAAGUCCGACACUUACCAAUAAUCAAUCAAUAAUAAGAUGAAAACGAGCUAUAUCCAUGUUGAUAGACAAACACGUAAUAACAACAGCAUUAGUUUAAGCUUUGAAGCAAAUUGUCCCACAUGCUUGGUUUGAAUAUAAAUUACAACUUUAAUUACUUAGUAUAAUAGUUUGAUUAUUAAUUUAACACCAGCCUAUGGGAAAAAAGUUAAGACUUUUUUCUCCCAAAAAAAAAAAAAGAAGCAAAAACUUUUGAUUUUAGAAUUAUGUGAUUCAAACUAACGAGUCGAACCGAAUUGUUUGUGAACUUUAAUCAAGUUAAGUUCGAGCUUUAAAAAAUGUCCGUCUCGAACUCGAGUUUAGUUUCGAACCGAAUCAAAUUUUAUCGAGCCGGGUUGAUUUAGGUUCGAUUUGGUUCAACUCAUUUCCAACCCUACUGAUGGCUUUUUCUGCCGGAAAUGACACUAGAAGAGGCACCAUAGUUAGAUUUCUUUUCCCGAUGGCCAACUCGAAUUUUCGACAGCCAUGACACUCACAAAUAUAGAAGGAAAAUACAAUUUUGCAAUAUAUUAGAAGUUUGAACCUGAAAUUCCUCACAUAUAUAUCUACCUAUUAGACUACUUGACAUACAAAAUAUAUAUUACCGAGAAAUUACAAAGAUAUAUAUAUAUAUAUAUAUAUAUAUAUAUAUAUAUAUAUAUAUAUAUAUAUAUAUAUAUAAAUGUGGGGACAAAUAGUUUUUAUGAAUGUUAAAUUAAUGAGAAAUUUUUUGAUGGAGUGUCACAAAAAAAUAGUUUAAUUUUUAUGGAAAUUAAAAAACUAAUUUCAAUCUUUCAUUUAAUUAUUGAGUAGUGGUGAUCACUAUUUUCUGAGAUUUGACAAGUAUUCAUUUCUUUUUUUAAAAGAUUCAAGUGGAGAUGUUUCUAGUGGGAAGAAAAAUCAUACUUUGGCAAUUGCAGUUACUAUUCCGUUGGUCAUCAUUUUGCUACUGGGGAUCAUAGUCUUCUAUGUUUACAUGAGAAAAAGAAAGCAAAGAGGUAAAUUUCUUGACCCAAAUAAAAUAUAUUUCAAUUCAAUGACAUAGAGUUCUUGAAAUUUGUUUAUAAAACAUGUACUCUACCUCUUUUUUUUAGAUAUAUGCCAUUUUUUUAUUCCUAAUCUCUUUCUAUACGAAUUCAAAUUAUUAGCAACAAAAGAAUUCAAAUUAUUAGCAACAAAAGAAAACUAUUCAAAUUAUAAAUGUAUGCUCACUAUAAGAAAAUAUGCGAUUUGCUAUGGCCAAUUUCGUAGCUACUCCGCAGCUGAUUUGUAGUAAACCCAUUUAUAAGCUCCGGAAUAACUAUUGAAACAGCCGUAGCAUGAAUUGAGAGAGAAAUUUGCUAGGCCCAUAGUUAGAAAAACUAAAAUCCUAGCAAAUAUAUAAUUUUUUUUUUCUUUUUUUUACAAAAUAAACGAUAUUCAUUCAUUCAAAUUGAUAGAGUACAUCGAUAUAAUACAAAUCCAAAUUCGCUAAAAACAAAAAGGAUGAAUAUGUGAACAAACUCACAUCAUCCAUGUUAAUAGCAUAAAACGGCAAAGUAAAUAUGUCUACAAAUAUGACUAACAUGAUUAUAUUCAAGUCUCCGGAAUACUCAUGUCUCCGGAUCUGCAACGUUGACGACGCCAAAGUCAUUGUCAUUGAUCGGAUUUGCACUUGCUCAAAGCUAAUCUUUCAACUUGAAUCAAAUAAUCACUACACUAAGACGGGAAAUCAAAAACACACCGCACAAAGACGGAAAAUCAAAAGAAACAGAGUCGUUAAGAGACGACAAAAUCACGAAAACAAACGAAAGAAAACAGAAAACGUGUGAAUCACUUAUUCAAUUAGAAUAUAAGGAAAAACAACUCGGAUGGGUGAUUUUUGGGUCAAAAUUGACCAUAAAUCACCCCUCUGACAAGAAGAAGAAGAAGAAGAAGAAAGGGGUGACGACAAGAUAACUAUGACUUCUCAAAGCAAUUUCACAACAAAUCUAAUUGAGGACAUCAUAGCAAUUUUGCAGCAAAUCUAUAGUAAAAUUUUAAAAUUAAAUUUUACAAAAUUAAAUUAUGUUGUAAUUAUAUCUUUACGAAAAUACCUUAAUUAUUGUAAUUUUUUAUUUUACUAUAGUAGAGAGGUAAAGUCAUUUUUUUAAAGAAGAAAGAUAAAUAUCUAUCUUAAAAGAAGAAGGAGGAUGGAUGAAGAUCGGGGAUUUUAGAAAUUAGGGCUCAUGAUUCCGAAAUCUAAUUCUCUUCCUUUUUAUAAUUAAAUUUAUUUUUUUUAAUAAUUAAUCAAUUAAUUUUUAUUAUGCAUCCAAUUAAUUAUUUUUAUUAAUGACAUGAAAAACGAAUAAGUCAAAACACAUGUCAUGUCACUGCCACAUCAUUAAUGGGAGCAACAAAUCAACAAAAAUGAUACGAGUCUAAAAAAACCUAAGAAAAAAAGUGAAGACCCAAAAUAAUCCCUCAUAAAAAUUUGCUCCAAUGACAUAAAUUCGUGAAUUUUGAUUCAAUACUGUAAAAGAAAAUAUAAAGGUUGUUUUUUCAACUGUUUUUGUUUCUUUAAGUUUGAGAGAAAAAUGACAUCUAGGAAGAAAAAAAUUUGUUAACACUACAAAGGAAAUUAUUAGAGAACUUCGCAUAGUUUUUUUUUUUAAAGAAACUUCACAUACUUGAUAUGAGACCUUAUAUUUUUUUUUUAAGAAGCUAAAAUGAUAUUAAAUUGUCAAAAAGUCUAGAUAUUCCAGCACAAGGUGUGCCAGAAAAUAUGGCUAAGUCAACAAGAUACAAAUCUAGAAAACGACCAAAUGGAGAAAGAAAUAUACAAACUAAGUAAUAGCUUUAAAGCAUAAGUUUGGAUUAAACCACCAAAAAUGGUAAUCAAAAGAGAAGGUAGAGUACUUUACUUUCAACCACCAAAAAAUUUGAAGCUUAAUUUUGUUAAGCAGCUUAAAUAAAGAGUGUCAUGAUUGAAAAUUCGGCUAUUUCUGUCACUCUAAAUUACCAAACACAAGAUAACCAAAAGAGAUGCAAAGUUGACCGCUGUUGUGAGACCUUAUAUUAAUUUUAGUUAAAGCCCUUAUCUUAGAGGUAAUUUUAAUUAAAGUACUUGAAUAUUAUAUAAUUAAGCAGACAAUUUAAAUAUGAGGAAAAUGCUAAAAUUUAUUUUUUCCAUCUUAUAUUUUAUAUGAAAAAAGAUUUGUAUUUUUUUUUUUUUUUAGAGAAAAGAUUUGUAUUAUGUUUACUAAGAAAUUUCCAUCAUCGUAUUUUUAUUUUUGGUACAAACCAACAUCAACAUGGUAUUGUAAUUCCUUAAAAAAAUGGUAUUGUAAUUAGUCUCCUUAAUGAAGAAAAUGUUCAACAAAUUAAACCCACUGAAAUGUUGCAUGAUCUAAUGCCUCUGCUAGGACUUUGCAUGUAAUAAUGAUAAAUAAGAAUUUGCCAUAAUAAAUACCACAUCGCAAAACAUUAUGAUUACAUGGAAAUUUCGUCCAAAAAAAAGUUAUUUUUUUGAAUUUUGUCCUACAAAAGUUUAUGACAAUAUUGCAUCGACACCAUUUACAUAUGGAAGAUAAUGCAGAGAUCAACACCUUAACCGAAGAGAGAGAUGAAGACCAACAAGAUUUUGAGCUUCCUUUCUUCAAUAUUUCUACAAUGAUAAGUGCCACAAAUCACUUUUCAGACUAUAAUAAACUUGGAGAAGGUGGCUUUGGACCAGUAUAUAAGGUAAACAUGCAUGCAACAACUUGAAUACAACACAUGAGAAAUCUCUUAGAGUCUCAUUUCCUAACAAUUUUUUCCAACUAUAAUAUUUAGGGUACACUAGCUAUGGAUGGGCGAGAGAUUGCCGUCAAAAGGCUUUCAGGAAGUUCAAAACAAGGAUCAAAAGAAUUUAAAAAUGAAGUUAUAUUAUGUGCAAAACUUCAACAUCGAAAUCUUGUUAAGGUUCUUGGUUGUUGCAUUCAAGGAGAAGAGAGAAUGCUUAUCUAUGAAUAUAUGCCCAACAAAAGCUUAGAUGCAUUUCUUUUUGGUGAGUAUCUCUAUUAAGCUUGAUCAUUAAUAUAUAUUUGAAUUGUGGAAAGAAAAUAAUAAAUAAAAUUGAUAUUUUUAAUAGAUCCAGCUCAAAAGAAACUUCUAGAUUGGUUUAAGCGCUUCAACAUUGUUUGUGGAAUUGCCCGUGGACUGAUUUAUCUUCAUCAAGAUUCUAGAUUGAGGAUCAUACAUCGAGAUCUAAAACCAAGUAAUAUUUUAUUAGACAAUGAUAUGAAUCCAAAAAUAUCAGAUUUUGGCUUGGCAAAAAUUUGUGGGGAUGAUCAAGUUGAGGGGAAUACAAACAGAGUAGUUGGAACACAGUAAGUAGUUUCAUUGAUAUUUUUAAGUUAUUGAAAGAAAAAAUAAUUCAAAUUAACUCAUUUGUAAACUUUUCAGUGGUUAUAUGGCUCCAGAAUAUGCCAUUGAUGGACUAUUCUCCACAAAAUCUGAUGUAUUUAGCUUUGGCGUAUUAUUGCUAGAGAUUGUAAGUGGACAUAAAAAUAAAGGACUUACAUUUCAGAACAACAACUAUAAUCUUGUUGGACAUGUAAGUAACACAAACUACUUUAUAUUUUCCCUUAAUUAAAUGGUAUAUAACAACUAUUUGAAUUUUGUAGGCUUGGAGGUUAUGGAAAGAGGGAAAUUCAAAAGAAUUGAUUGAUGAUUGUCUAAAGGACUCAUAUAUUCCAUCUGAAGCUUUAAGAUGCAUACAAGUUGGUCUUUUAUGUCUACAACUUCAUCCAAAUGAUAGACCAAAUAUGACAUAUGUGCUUGCGAUGUUGACGAAUGAAAGUGUUUUAGCCCAACCAAAGGAACCUGGUUUCAUAAUACAAAGGGUCUCUAAUGAGGGAGAAUCUACAACGAAGCCUUUCUCAAUGAAUGAGGUUACUAUUUCGGUAAUAGAUGCUAGAUGAAAAACAUAUAUCAAUGGACGUUUAGUUCCGUCAACUUUGAUUAGAUAUACCAAUGGAAAAAUUUCAUCUCAAUAGCCUAUAGCUACAGUAGUUUUGGACAACAAAAUGUGAGACUUAUACCUACGGUCAAUGACACUUAUUGAGUUAUUUUAUGAAAAAUGUUACAUGAACACCCUUUAUUCCUGCACCUCAUUGUACACCUAAUGUAUUAGGAUAUUUUUGUAGGUUCAUCUCACAAUAUCUUCUAUUUGUGUGGAGUUCAGGUUGCCACGUGUCAGAAUUUUGUGUGGAUGUAAAGGGUGUAUUGCCACAUGAGGUGGUACAUGUAUCAUCACUCUUAUUUUAUCCAUAGCAGUUUUCCAUUGGUAGGUUUGAGAAUAUUUUUUUAGUAUAUAUAAAUAGUUUUUCGACUCAAAUAAUUCUUUCAUAUUUUUCAUUAUGAUUGAGACCGUAGGGAGUAGUAGGCUUUAAUAUGUUUUUCGUCCAUGCAAUUAGGGGUCAUUUAAAAAUUGGUCCCUGUAAUCGUUAAUCUGGUAAAUUAACCUUGUAAAGUUUAAUCAUUUAAAAUUUCGUCCCUACACCCAUUUAAUUAUUGUCAUGUCAUCAAAUUAGCAAGAUGGCACGGGAAUGGACAAAAAUACUCUCAUCAUCCUUCUCCAAACAAUCUCUCUUCUUCUCUUUCCCUUCCAUCAAACACAACAACCUUAAAAAUUAACUUGCCUCCUCAACUACGAACCAGAGAAAUAUGAAAGGUAGGUGUUAUAUUGGCUUUCAUAUUUUUUACUUUCAUAUGCGAUGAAAUGUCUCCUUGUGUAAGAUUUUGUUGUAUGCUUUUUUCCAUAAUCAAAAUAUCAUUAUAAGAUUUUUUUCUAGUUACUAUAAUAGUUAAUUAAUAUGAUUCUUUUGAUAUGCUUUCUAUCCUCUAAUUGAGUUUCACAGGGUAAAAAGCCUUCACUACAAAUCAAAUCAUUCUCAUAGGUUUCAUGUUUGUUUUCCUGCUUGUUACGGCUCGAUUAACCUGCGCUAGGCAUCCCCCCUUUUAUCAAUAAAAUUCCAACAUACCCAUGUUUUUUUCAACUUCCAACAGUAUUGCUCUCACUUAAUUGGUUUGCAUAAAAAAAAACACCUGAAACUGAAAGCUGAAACACUUGGUUUGCAUAAUCCAACAACAUUGCUCUCACUUGGAAGAUGAAAUCGAAAGCUGAAACUGAAUUGAAACAAAAUUGAAAUUGAAAUCAGUAGAAUCGAUGUUCAUGUGAAUCGAUGAAGAAGAAAUUGGAAUGGAAGAAGAAGGUCUUGAUGGAUGUUCAUGUGAAUCGAUGUUUUUUUUUUCAAUUUAGGAAUGAAUGUUUUGUUGCAGAUCCAUUGAGAAGAGGAAGAGGGAAUGAGAAGAAGAUGAAGACAGGGGCAAUACUGUCAUUUCACGUGUGGGUUGGCCAAUUAAAGUCAUUAAACGGGUCAUGGGACGAAAUUUUAAAAGAUUAAACUUUGCAAGGCUAAUUUGCCAGGAUUAACGAUUACAGGGACCAAUUUUUAAAUGACCCCUAAUUGCAGGGAUGAAACACAUAUUAAAGCCUACAAAGUAUUAUUAUGCAAGCCCCUAAACCACUUGAAAAUUGUCGGGAAUUUGAAUCUCAACGUUUUACCAUAAAGAUUCCCAUCAUAACAAUCUGGAGCAGUGUCGUGAUCCAAAAUAAUUUUCAAUAUCUGAAAGGUGGACUUCUUAUCCAUCCGCUUGUCACUUUUGGAAAUGUUGUAUCAUAUGACUGUUCGGCCAUAAUGACCGUCCAACAUCAACCAAUAGCCUUGUAAACAUUGUCCAUCUCUUUUACGUUGUAACAACACACAAUCGGAAAUGGGCGGUGAUUCUCUCUUGAAUUUUAAUUUUGUCAAAUCGACCCAAUUUUGAGUUGUUAGUGAGUACAUCAUCCAACAUAAAACCGUAAGAUUGUGCAUCCACGUUGUCGGAUUUGUCAAAAGAGACAUUCACAUACUGCUCAACCAAACUCUUAAAUUCUUGGUAGCUUAAAACGUGUAUGCGAAGAUAAUCCAUUUUUUCACUCUUUCUCCUGCAUAAAUUUGAAAGCAAAUCAAUAUAUGGGUUUGACGCAAUUUAAGAAGUUGUGCAUAGAAAUAAUAUAAUAAAAGAGUGAGAAGAAGAAGAGAACACACAAGGGAGGCUAGAAGAUUAAAUUACAUUUUGUUGUUCUUCUUCUUGGUUCUUGUUAUUUUGCUCAAUCGCAUGUCCACUCAAGGCAGUAAUGUGGCCAUCAUAACAGUAACAGAGAGAGAGCAGUCAAUUAACAUUUUUUUAUGUGGGCAAACAUUUAGUAAUGUGGUCACAGAUGUUGGAAUCCCAUACAUAGUUCGUGGUGAUUCGAUAAAGAAAGGAGCUGUGGUCAUUGACAUGGGAACAAAUCAAGUUAAGGUAACAACUCAAAAAUUUUUACUUCAAUAUUUUAAGGUUUCCUUUGGAUUCUGAAUGCAUGGAAGUACUUGAAAUUUUUAUUUUUCUAUUUGAAGAACUUGGUGCUAUUUUCAGAUGACUUGUCAAAUAUAUACUCAAAGUUAAAAAGGCACAAACUCAAAGAGGUAUCAUUUAAGGAAGAGAUAGUAAAUUCAACACACUGAUGCUAAAUGUUUGCCCCUUUGAAAUCACUAAUCAUGUUGUUAUGACAAUUCAUUUUGACCAUCCUAAAAUUGUUUCAAAUUGGAUUUCUAUGUUAUAAAUAGGGAGCGUGUACUUAUAUGGACCAGGAAAAAAAAUUGUACUCACAUUGUCAAGUGGUUGUUUUUCCUCUCAACCUACAAACCGGGUUUGCAAGGGUUGAGUUAGACAACCUGGCCUACUUUCUAAGUUGGUAUCAUAGUCUAUACAAGAUCCGUUAGGUCACAUGUUGUCUGAUUAUCGCUAUCAAACCACUUGAGUCACAUUCUAGAUGUCUAGUCCUGGACGUGAGGGUGUGUGUGUUAAGAAUUCCACAUUAGAUGAGAUAUGACUAAAAGCGGUGGAAAAUCAUCACUUUACAUGUCCGUUUUCUAAGGACGAGCUAGUCCCAAUACAAAAUUCUAACAGUUACGCUUAAGUAUGGUUAUUAGUUAUGAAAUUUAACUAAUUUAACAAAGAGACUUGUGGCAUCAUUUAGGUUUCAUUAUGGUAUUAUAAAUUUUUAGAAAAUGCAAUGUAUGAUUGUUGUACCAUAAAAUACGUCUUUGUGAAAAUAGCACACAAAUAUGUACUCUUCUCACCUGGAUUACAGAAACAGUAAAUGGAAGAAAAAUAGAUCACAAUAUGUAAAUAAAUGAGUGUUUUAUUUAUGAAAGUUAAAGGUAAAAUGCAAAAGAUGAAUGUAUCACCCACAAAGCCAUGCCACUACAGAGAACAGUAUUAUUUGUUCAUAGCUAUCAAAAUGGUUUUUCCAAAAAUUUACCCCAUAAUUCUAUCCUCCACCUUCUAUAACAAACUUAAAUAUAUAUCUUCCCUGAUCUCUAAUUUUCCUCAAUUGGUUUUAGUCACUUGACAUUUGACAAUGUAGAAGCUUGAGCCUCAAGCAAAAUGAAUGUAUGUUGCGAUUUGGGAAAGGAAACAAAGAGAAGACAUCAUAUGGGAAAACAUGACAAUUAGGGAAAAGAAAAGACACGUUAGUGCCCUAAAAAUAGUAUGACCCUAAAUUGGUACAAGGAUGGAAAAUGGCAUCAGCCAUUACUCCGGUUCCUGGAGGCGUUUACAGUAUCGAUGUUUCUCUCCAACACACUUGAUUCCGCAAAACGUGCAUUUCGAAUCGUUUGAAAGAAAUUGUUGAUUCACUUCUCCAUGUUAUAGGCAUAGCGUCUGCCGAAAAGCCUAAUAUUCUUUCCUUGAGUGAUGAAGAUGCAUGUUGAUGUCAUGUUACUGUUUCUUUUAACAGGAGUUUGCUAACUAAUUACUAUCAAAUCUCAAGUUGCGAUUUUGAUUCGUUUGCUAUAAGAAUAUUGUUGUAUAUAACAAUGAGUUAAUAAUCAUUUUAGUCUCCCAAUGUUUACCGGGUAGUCACAAUAGUUAAUGUAUCGAAAUUUCAAAAUAGUUCAUGAUUGGACAUUUCCUUAAUCAAAAUAGUACUUGUCUUACGAUGUUCUGAUAAUAUUGUCAUAUUUGUCUCUCAAUAUAUUUAAAUUCAUAAAAGUACUUAUUUAUUGUCAUAUCAAUCCCUUUAUGAAAAGAAUUUUCGUCAAUAUUGAAGGACUGUUUCAACAAUAACUACUUUGACUAACAUAGUGCACAUUCAUGGAUUAUUUUGGAUUUUUGAUACUUUGAAAUACUAAUAUGAGUACUCUUUGCAUAUUCAAGGACUAAAAUGACUAUUACCCCUGUAAUAAUAUAAUUUUUGUAUUCCUAAAAAAAAAACCUAUGUAACAAUUUCUCUCUACUUUUUUUAAACAAACCGAACUUAAUUCGCUUCACUAAUCAACAAAGUCUAUACAAGGAGGAUCACACUCAAAAAUACGUCAACUAAUCCAAAAAAUGGCCGUCCAUUCGAGAGUAUAUGCAAUCAUAUUUGUUUAUCCUCUAACAAACUUAAACUUAAAGUUGGAAUGCAAAAGUAGAAAACUCUUAAUAUUAAAGAAAAAUAUCUCUGUUUUUCUCUUUUUUUUUACCCACAAAUUUCUCUCUUUUAAAAACUUGACAAGCGUGCUUUCAUUGUAUUUCUGUGCGGAUAAAGUCCUGGUUUUAUUUCUCUCAAUUUUAUUUAUUUAUAUUGAUGGUUUAAGACCUCCAACGAAAUAAAAAUGCAAAAACGAUAUUACCCAAAGUUGAACAUGAUAAUACUGGAGGUUGAAAUGGUCCAACCACUAUGCUAUAUUAUAUCAUUUGUUUGAAACAUAAAUGUGAAAACAACUAAAACAUUGGAAACUCGUCGAUUAAAAAAAAGAGUCAAAUUUACACAUAUAUUAUAUCAACCUAAGAGAUGUCUAGGUCACCAGAAACACUUGUUAGAAAAUGUCCAUUGUAUUUGUUGACAUAACACCUUAAGAAAGUCGUAUAUUUUGAAUUACUUAACAAUAAAAUUUGUGUGAAAUGUUUCAUUUUUGCUUCUUCAAAACAAUAGUGUUAGAUGCUUAUCAACGACUUAAUUUAUAAACUUGCGUACCUACUUAAAUUGAAGCAGAAUUUUCUCAGAAAUCUCCAUCUUACCUUACACGUUUUUUUAAAGAAAAUCUUGCAAUACACGUUAUAUCAAUUUUCCAUUAAACAAAAUGACUCUCAAAGUCCCUAACUCAAUUUUUGUCAUUUAUCUUUUUUUUUCACGUUUUUUUUUCUUUUGAUUCGUUUACAUAGUGAUUUUCAAGUAUUAAAUAUAAAAAAAAAUUUAAAAAAAACUAACAAUACAUAAAUGAAAGACCAUAAAUUUAAAUUCUAAAAGCUUUAUAUUAAAAUAAAAUCAUGAUUUGCGCUUGAAAAUUCAUAUGCAAAUUGUUCAAAGGGACCAAAAUAACAUGAAAAGAUAAAUGACGAAAUUGUUAUCUAAAAUAAGUUAAGAGAGGAUGAUAAUCAUUUUGUCUUAAUUAAUUAUUAUUUUGCAUCUUUGCAAGGCCAACCCAAUCAUUUUAAAUAGCAAGUGAGGUUUCAAACAAAAUUUAAUGUACAUGAGGUCUUUUUCUAAAUAUAAAGCAUUUAUUUAUAAAACUAAUGAAAAAUAUUAAUUUUUUUAUUUAAAAGGAUAGUUUUAGUUUAUUCAAAGAAAAUAAAAGAGGUCCUCGUCAGUGUAACUCAGUUGGUAGGGGCAACGCAUAAUAUAUGCAAGGUUCGAAGUUUAAACCUCGGCCACUACCAAAAAAAAAAAAAGAUAGUUUUAGUAGUCUUACUCUUAGGCCAUCGACGCUGCAAUUUAGGUCUACGGAUUCUAGUAACUUUGUUGGAGUCUGGUUGUUCUUGAUUUUCGUUGUCUUAUUUUUUUAGUCAAGUAGCCUAGUGGCUGACGAAAUUCACUUUAAAGAUGAAUAGUGAGGUGUCCGGGGUUCGAACCCCUGCACAUAUUGUACAUUAUCCUUUAACAAAUGAGCUAAGCUCAUGGGGACUGAUUUUCAUUGUCUUACUGGUCAGAUACAUAGAUUAUACGGUACUGUUGCUUUCAAAAUGCAAAAAAAAAAAAAAAAAAAAAAAAAAAAAAAAAAAAAAUUAAGUUUUCUAAUUCUGGUACUCUAAUAUAUAAAUAAAUCAUAUUUCAAACGUUGCCAUUUCUCUUCUUUAGUAAAGGUCGGAUACUUGGAUUAUACGUUGCUGUUGCUGUUGCUUUCAAAAUCCAGAAGAAAAUUAAGUUUUCUAAUUCUGGUACACUAAAUAUGAACAAAUCAUAUUUUGAAUGACAUCCAAAUCAAUGUCUACUCCUAGAUAAAAUAUCCAAAUCGAUCCAAAUAAAAAAAGUAAACCCAUCUAUAUACUUCGAUAUCAUACAAAAUAGCAUUUUGUUAGAUUUUUUUUGUAUAAUUUUUAUAGAAACAAUUCAAAUCACAUAAAUUUUAAAUUAUUUUUUUGAAAUUGAAUCAAGCUUAGACUAUUCCUUUGAUCUCAAAUAUAAACAAAUAUUCCUCUUUUUUCUUCAGAUUUAUUGAAUAAGUGAUGUAUGUAAAUCAUAAUAUUUACUACCUCCGUCCCUAACUAUAGGGCCCUUUUAAAAAAAUAACGGGAAUUAAGAUAGUGGAUAUUUUUAUUAAAUAUCUUUGUAAUUACUAUUGUUUUUACAAUUUUACCCUUUAAGAGAGAGAGAUAGUUUAUGUUUUCAACAUGUUAUUUAUUGCUGAUUGAAGAAAAAAAUGUAUAAUAAAUAGGGACAUGUAUGUAAAGAAAUAAUUAAUGUAGUUGAAAAUAGUAAAAGGAUCUUAUAAAAAGGGACAAAAAAAAAUUCUUAAAAGAUCUUAUAAUUAGGGACGGGAGUAGAAUUUGUUUGAAUGGAUGUUCAUUUUAGUUGGUAUAUACUCAUUUGAAGUAUACACUUUAGUUGGUCCAAAGUUCUAAUGUUACUACGUGUCAUUUUAACAAUGGGAUAGUUGUUAUUCAUCAAUAUAUGACCAAACAUGGUUGUGGUGAUGAUAAUCGAUGAGGACGAUGAUGAGGAAGGAUGGUAGUCGUGACGGAGGCUAGCAGUGACGAGAGAUUUUACGGUGGCUGGUCUAACGGGAGAGAAAACAGAAGAGGUAGAGAAGGAAGAAGGAAGAGGGCAGAUUGGAUUUUUACAAAAUUGCCCCUAUUUUAAUGUUGAAAUGUUAAAAUUAUCCUUGGUAUUGUAUUUGUCAAAUAAUUUGUGUUUGUUUUAUCAUUUCGAAACAAAUGUGUCUCCACCAAUCAAUGUACUUAAUUUCCAACCCGAUGUUGGCCAUUUGUUUUGAAAUUUAAGUUGAAUCUAACUCAACCUUAUAAAACUGAUCGGUAAGUGUUUACCGGUGUUUUUGGUAAACAAUAAAACUAAUUUUAAAUUGCAGGAUCAAACUAGAAAUCCUAGGACAUGUUGUGCAAUGAUUUUCUAGAAAAUAUAUGAAUGUUCAUCAUAUUUAUGAAUUUGCUUAUGAACAAGAUGAAGAAAACUGUUUUAUGUUGAAGCUAAUUACCUUUCGACGGGAAUCAACAAUAUAUUUAAAGAUUAAAAACUUAAAAGACUUCGAAUUCUAAAGGCAAAGAAACUUAAAGGAAAGUAAAUUGCAUUCCAUAAAAUGAAAAACUACUAUAUAUACACAAGAAAAAUAACUACACAGACCAACGGUCAGAAACUAAAUCAUUUCGACAACUUUGGCUUGUUUUCCACGUGUCUGACCCUUCAGUCUUGCCUCUCCAAGGAAUUUGAACUCCUCUAGUCAAACCCUCAAAACCUUGUCGAAACCAUUUUCUGUCGAAAUCAUCAACUUCAUCCUGGACUUAGAGAAUUUCAUGGUUUUGAUUAUCUAGUUACCGGUCAAAAUACACAAACGAAAAUACAUGCUAACAAUAAGGUGAUGAUAUUUUACCGAUAAACACAUGUUCAUGUCUCAUUGUAUACCAUUUGAGACUCUUAAUUAAUAUGUGUUGUCAUGCUCAUGACUUAACAUGUAGAAUAUGAUCCAGGUGAUGGAUAGCGGUGAUCAAAUAGCAUUUGACUCAAAAAAUAUUAGAUAAACUCUUAUAUCAUUUAAAAACUUAACAUGUGGAAUAUGAUCCAGGUGAUCUGAUAGCGGUGAUCAAAUAGCAUUUAACUUAAAAAAAUAGACACUAAUAUCAUUUAAAAAUUUAGAUUGGACUCACCUUAACACUUACAUAAUUGUCUUGUAAAAUAAAAAUUCUCUCCAAGACAUGUUCAUGAUUUAUCUUAGUUUAUGCUAUCAUAUACAUGUAAUUUCAAUAUUAACUAUCAUCUUUUUGCUAGAUUUAAUAAAAGAAAAAGACAUUAGUUAAUCUUAUAAAGUUACCUCUCUAUAAUAUACACCAUCCUCCAAUCAUUAUUAAAAGUACGAGUCAACUUUUUAAGUUCAUUCAAUAAAUGAUGUAUGUGGUAUAUAUAAUAGACCAUGUACAUCAUUUAUUGAAUGAAUCUAAAAAGUGAAUUUUUACUUAUAGGGAAAUGCUAACCUAAAACAUAAAACUUUCUUUUUUCGGCUUCCUAAACUAUUGUCCUAAGGGCACCGGUUAACAUAACCCUUAUUUAUAAUAUGAUCGGAGGAUGUCCAGACACAAAGUUUAGUCCCAAAGUCAAUUUAACAUGUUUUUUUCUUUUUUUAAGGAAAGUCAAUUUAGCAUAUAUAAACGCACAAACAUAAAAUGUGUGUCUGCCUCAAACUCAAUCAAUGCAAAAUGACCAAUAUUCUUCCUAUGAUAUUGUUUGUUAUUCUUAGUCUCCUGUUGUUCUUCUUUCAAUUAUCUACUUCAAUUGAUACCAUCACCCAAUUUCAAUCUCUUCAUGAUGGCAACACUUUGGUUUCUAAUGAUGGAACCUUUGAGUUAGGAUUUUUCACACCAGGUAGUUCCACAAAUCGCUAUGUGGGAAUAUGGUACAAAAAUAUGCCUAAUAGAAUAGUUUGGGUUGCAAACCGUGAUGAUCCAAUCAAAGACAACACCUCCAACUCAACCAUGUUGAUCAUGAGCAAUGAUGGAAACCUUGAAAUACUUACCAACAACAAUCAAACACUUGUUUGGUCAACAAACAUCACAACACAAUCUUUGUCAACUACAAGUUCUCAUGUUGCUCAACUAUU